UUUGAAUGAGUGGUAGGCAAAAUCCACAGCCUGAAAGCCUGAAAAACUGUGUCCGAGAAACUUUGUGCAUCAAUAGAAAAAUGUUCAGUGUUAAGUGUCUCUGAAGAUCAUAAAAUUACGUACGGACGAUGCCAAAGGGAUCAGGAGACUCCACCGCUGCCGCCAGUACCAGUCCUGUGCGUCCGAAGCCUGCCUGCAGGGUAGCCAUCAGCAGCCAGGGCCAGAGGGCAGCCAGCUGCAGCUGGUGGCCACCACUCAUGCUACCAGCUGCAGCAAUGCACUUCGGCCAUACAUACUGCUUCCACCAGCUAAUACCAAACACAGCUUCUCGGAUCCAGACAAAUGAAGGAAGAGAGAAUUUAUGCUUCAGUUUCAGGAACCCCAGUCAUAGUUUUGGCCCUUUCUUUCUCUAAAGUAUAUUCCCAAGAACAGGUGGCAUUCCUGAUCUGGCAGGGAAGAGGGUAUUUUCAGCCCACUUCGGCUGCAGGUCACUGGGUGCUGGUCUUCCAUAUGCAUCAAGUUGUCGAGCCACUAAACCCAAUGUUAAUGAACAAAACAAGGCAAAGUAAACAACUAAGGCCAUGCAUUGAAGCAUAUAAAAGGAUCAAAUCUUGAAAGAGCAAAGAAGCAAAGCAACAGUUCACUACCAGGAACACAGAAAAUCCCAGAGGGAGAAGGCAA